CCUACGGGAGGCAGCAGUGGGGAAUAUUGGGCAAUGGGCGCAAGCCUGACCCAGCAACGCCGCGUGAAGGAAGAAGGCUUUCGGGUUGUAAACUUCUUUUCUCAGGGACGAAGCAAGUGACGGUACCUGAGGAAUAAGCCACGGCUAACUACGUGCCAGCAGCCGCGGUAAUACGUAGGUGGCAAGCGUUAUCCGGAUUUACUGGGUGUAAGGGGCGUGUAGGCGGGAAAGCAAGUCAGAUGUGAAAACCAUGGGCUCAACCUGUGGCCUGCAUUUGAAACUGUUUUUCUUGAGUACUGGAGAGGCAGACGGAAUUCCUAGUGUAGCGGUGAAAUGCGUAGAUAUUAGGAGGAACACCAGUGGCGAAGGCGGUCUGCUGGACAGCAACUGACGCUGAGGCGCGAAAGCGUGGGGAGCAAACAGGAUUAGAUACCCCGGUAGUC
rnacentral:rRNA from 1 species